rnacentral:rRNA from 1 species
GGCCGCGGGAAUUCGAUUAGAGUUUGAUCAUGGCUCAGAUUGAACGCUGGCGGAAUGCUUUACACAUGCAAGUCGAACGGCAGCACGGGAGCUUGCUCCUGGUGGCGAGUGGCGAACGGGUGAGUAAUGCGUCGGAACGUACCGAGUAACGGGGGAUAACGCGGCGAAAGUCGCGCUAAUACCGCAUACGCCCUGAGGGGGAAAGCGGGGGAUCGCAAGACCUCGCGUCAUUCGAGCGGCCGACGCCUGAUUAGCUAGUUGGUGGGGUAAAGGCUCACCAAGGCGACGAUCAGUAGCGGGUCUGAGAGGAUGAUCCGCCACACUGGGACUGAGACACGGCCCAGACUCCUACGGGAGGCAGCAGUGGGGAAUUUUGGACAAUGGGGGCAACCCUGAUCCAGCCAUUCCGCGUGAGUGAAGAAGGCCUUCGGGUUGUAAAGCUCUUUCAGCUGGAGCGAAACGGUACGCUCUAACAUAGCGUGCUACUGACGGUACCAGCAGAAGAAGCACCGGCUAACUACGUGCCAGCAGCCGCGGUAAUACGUAGGGUGCGAGCGUUAAUCGGAAUUACUGGGCGUAAAGCGUGCGCAGGCGGAUUGUUAAGCAAGACGUGAAAUCCCCGGGCUUAACCUGGGAAUGGCGUUUUGAACUGGCAGUCUAGAGUGCGUCGGAGGGGGUGGAAUUCCACGUGUAGCAGUGAAUGCGUAGAGAUGUAGACACCGAUGGCGAAGCAGCCCCUGGGAUGACACUGAGUCAUGUACGAAAGCGUGGGUAGCAAACAGGAUUAGAUACCUGAGUCCCCGUAACGAUGAGUGGUCGGCAGCUCUGUCUGAGCUACGCAUAAACAUUCGCUGGGUACGACGCAGAUAAUCAAAUGACGGCACGGCAUGGUAUUCGAACGAUUACAGUGA